rnacentral:rRNA from 1 species
ACGGGGGUUGCGAGCGUUGUCCGGAAUUACUAGGCGUAAAGGGCAGGUAGGUGGAUUGAUAAGUUUUUCGGUAAAGCUGCCAGCUCAACCGGAAUACGUCGGAGGGAUACUGGCAGGCUAGGGACCGGAAGAGGUGAGAGGUACUCCAGGGGUAGGAGUGAAAUCCUGUGAUACUUGGGGGAACACCUGUGGCGAAGGCGUCUUACCAGGCCGGCACCGACAGUGAGCUGCGAAAGUUGGGGGAUCAAACAG